AAUUCAGUUCUGUAUUAUUAUUUUCCUUUUUUUUUCCCUUUGACAUUAUAUUUUAGUUAAUUACGGCAUACAAUUAAUUCUUAAUUCCUUCAUUCUUUUCCUAGGUGAAAUGAAAUUGCGUGGAUGGAAUGACACCAUAUUUAUUUUCCGGAUAUUAUUAUGCUUCUUCCCCGUUACUUCACUCAUUUUGAUAACCAGAUGCUUAGAUGGCUCACGCCCCUUGCUCUCUGCCAACCAUCAGCAUUCUUAAUGUACAAGGCACUAUCUGCUAAACUACUCCUUUCUGUCAAGAUAGAUUCUGUAUAAAUAGAAAAUAACUGAAAACAAGUAUGGGACCUGAGUUGUUAUAAUAUAUUUUGUUUAUCAUUUUUGGGGGGAGGGUUAUUAUAUGUAGGUGAAUACAAGUACUUCAGUCACACAAUAAACCACUCUGUAGAAGAAUUAUAUAUUGUAUUAUUAUAAUUUAAUAACAUUUCUAGUACAGCACUUCGCUAUUUAGAGAUUUUAGUUAGUUACCAAAGUGAGAAUUGUCAGCAGUUCAAACUGACUUUCUGAUUUUAAGUCAAUCUAGUUUUUUUUAAAUCCCUUUAAAUACUUUCCCAGGUUAAGCUCUCCAGUGUAUAAUUUUCGGGCAGAGAUCGUAAACCCUUUUAGGUUAUAGGAACCACAUUUGCCUUUCUCCGAACCUCUGGUACAAUUCCUAAAAGAAAAGAAUCAUACAAGAUUAAAAACAGGCGGUUCCAUUAUUCCACACUUAGCUCCUUAAGUACUCAUGGUUGAAUACCAUAAGGCCCUGGGUCUUUGUUUAUAUUACUUUCUAUAGCUGCUGUAACACUUAAUCUUGAAUUAUCCAUUCACAAUAUAGCUACAUGUUGUUUGCAGCAGUGCCUUUUAAUAGCCAAGUCAAUUUAUUUCUGUUAAUGAAACCCUAGUCAUACCUCUCCUGGCUUUGACUGACCUAGCUACUAUGAAAUAAAAAAAAUUGUUUCAAAUCCAACUUACAUCUCCUGCUCUGUUGAAUGG